rnacentral:rRNA from 1 species
UACAGAGGUCCCAAGCGUUGUUCGGAUUCACUGGGCGUAAAGGGUGCGUAGGUGGCAGGGUAAGUUUGAUGUGAAAUCUCCGAGCUCAACUCGGAAACUGCAUUGAAUACUAUCCUGCUUGAGCACUGUAGAGGCAGAUGGAAUUCCGGGUGUAGCGGUGGAAUGGCGUAGAUAUCGGGAGGAACACCAGUGGCGGAAGGCGGUUGCCUGGGGCUUUGGCUGACGCUGAUGGCGCGAAAGC